rnacentral:rRNA from 1 species
GACGAACGCUGGCGGCGUGCUUAACACAUGCAAGUCGAACGGAAAGGCCCUGCUUUUGUGGGGUGCUCGAGUGGCGAACGGGUGCGUAACACGUGAGUAACCUGCUCUUGACUUUGGGAUAACUUCAGGAAACUGGGGCUACUAUCGGAUAGGAGCUCCUGCUGCAUGGUGGGGGUUGGAAAGUCUCGGCGGUUGGGGAUGGACUCGCGGCUUAUCAGCUUGUUGGUGGGGUAGUGGCUUACCAAGGCUUUGACGGGUAGCCGGCCUGUGAGGGUGACCGGCCACAUUGGGACUAAGAGACGGCCCAGACUCCUACGGGAGGCAGAAGUGGGGAAUAUGGCACAAUGGGCGGAAGCCUGAGGCAGCAACGCCGCGGGCGGGAUGACGGCCUUCGGGUUGUAAACCGCUUUCGCCUGUGACGAAGCGUUAGUGACGGUAAUGGGUAAAGAAGCACCGGCUAACUACGUG